CCCUUAGAUGUCCGGGGCUGCACGCGCGCUACACUGAAGGAAUCAGCGUGCUAAAACCAUUGUCGAAAGGCAUUGGUAAACCCAUUAAAAUCCUACGUGAUUGGGAUCGGGAAUUGCAAUUAUUUCCCUUGAACGAGGAAUUCCAAGUAAGUGUGGGUCAUAAGCUCGCGUUGAUUACGUCCCUGCCCUUUGUACACACCGCCCGUCGCUGCCCGGGACUGAGCCGUUUCGAGAAAAGCGGGGACUGCUGCUGUCGGGGCUUUCGGGCCUUGGCUUCGGUGGAAACCGCUUUAAUCGCAGUGGCUUGAACCGGGCAAAAGUCGUAACA
rnacentral:rRNA from 1 species